rnacentral:lncRNA from 1 species
UUAGAAUCAGUAGGGGUGUGAGGGAAUGUGAUCGAAGUCUGCAGCAUUUCCUGUGCAUUUGGCUUUUUCUGUUGGUAGAGUUUGGUCUGAAUGGCUUAAAUGUUAGGGGGGUGUUUGAUACUCAUGGCAGCCCCAGAAUAUUUACUUCAUGCAGUUAUUGAUGCAAUGCCAUCCUGUCCUGUCUCCUGUCUCUGUAUUAAUGCUGACUACUAUGUUUAAUUUAUGGGGUCUGGAGUUUUGUGCUUGUGGGAGUCGAGGAACUGUGUCAUGCCCAUUCGACAUGCAUUUUGAAUUGAUUGUUCACUGGAAGAGGGGAGUCAAACUUGGGUUUACUCCCAGGCUUUGUCCCAUGCCUUUUAGUACAAGGGAUAUGAUGACAGGUGGGAGGUGGGGAUUUCAACAGCUCAUGUGACUGUGUUGUUAGCUAAGAACAUGAUUAGUAUUAGUGGAUAAGCUAGUGAACCAUGAAUUGAAGUAUUAGAUAGAGGAAGAGAGAAGGAAUGUGCAUACCUGGAUUGUUACAGUUGAUCUUUUGUAUGGCAUUGCAUCAGCUAACAAGCAUAUCAGAUACUGGCUUUGCUAAUUUCUUGACUCCACAGUCUCUCUAUUCUCAUCAAGGAAAAGCUGACUUC